GGAAUGAAUUAUAGAUGAGUUUGUGGAAAAGAAUCAGUCACGCAUUCGGAGACAGCUGCACCAGAGGACGCUAAGAGAACUGAGCAGGCAGGGUAGAGCACGCACUUCGACGCAGAUCCUUUCCGGCGGCGGUCCGAGUAGAUCAUACGUUGUGUUGCGAGUGUUAGCGUGUGUUUGCGUGUGCUUUCGAAUGAGCAAGUCUUCGCUAUUCUCCUCAUCGUGGCCUACUCAUCUAUUUGGUAAGUACCAUGUACAGCUCAUCGCGGGACAGCGUGGGACAGCGCUGGAGCACCUCGUCGAUCAAGAUAAGGAGAGUUCUGUUCCUAGGACGUUAGGGUGAUAGGAUGUUAGGCUGCUAGGCUACUAACCCCCUUUGCCUUUCAGAUACAUCACAAUAAUGCCUCCUGUAGAUUAUUCCACAGCUUGACCAAGAGUAGGAGGCGACACCAGCGGCGGAGUGAAGAAACUGGACUAAAAUAGAGGCGUGCAGAAGUGAAGAGGUCGCAAAGGAGGCCAGUUUGUAGUUGCGUUAUGAAGGAGUUGUCUUGGGGAGAUUGCAAGAAAGAAGUGACGCUCUGUGCCUGAGUAGUGAUGGGCCAAUCGAUACUUUCAAAUAGCAGCAAAAAUAAAGAUACUGAUGUUCAGGAGAUGGAAACUGCCACACCACAAUGCAUUCUGCGGAAGGAAACCAUGGAUAAAGGUGAGACGCGAUUCUUAGUUGCUUUAAUUAUCAUCUUCCCCAACAGGUGUUAAUUAACUUUCCUUUCCCUACAGGUGCUAAUUAAUUUCCUUCCCCUACAGCUGCUAACUUUCUUCCCCCUACAGGUGCUAAUUAAUUUCCUUCCCCUACAGCUACUAACUUUCUUCCCCCUACAGGUGCUAAUUAAUUUUUUCCCCUACAGCUACUAACUUUCUUCCCCCUACAGGUGCUAAUUAAUUUCCUUCCCCUACAGCUGCUAACUUUCUUUCCAUACAGGUGCUAAUUAUUUUUUUUCCCCUACAGCUGCUAACUUUCUUCCCCUACAGGUGCUAAUUAAUUUCCUUCCCCUACAGCUGCUAACUUUCUUUCCAUACAGGUGCUAAUUAAUUUCUUUCCCCUACAGCUGCUAACUUUCUUCCCCUACAGGUGCUAAUUAAUUUCCUUCCCCUACAGCUGCUAACUUUCUUUCCAUACAGGUGCUAAUUAAUUUCU